GAACAACCCAGCUGGGCAUUGCUGUUGGCGAUUGGUGCAGGAAGGCUGAAGCUCAUUUCCUUCAGCUGUGUGGCAUCAGAAACAGAGGCAAGCAGCUGAAGCUCACACACCUUUGAUAAUUAAAUGCUAAGUAACGACCAGCUGCAGAGAGCAACUAAUCUCUGCUUGGAAGCACAGCCUGGAGGGAUGCGAGAGGCUUUGGAGCAGCUUAUUUCUCUGCACAAGGGAGAAUGAAAGAAUCUGACUGAUGGGUGCAGACUUGGGUGACCAAAGUGGCUGCCAGAGCAGCUUCCAGCCUGAAUGCCAACCACACCAAGAACAUUUGUACUAAAACUGAAGCAGCGAUUUCGAGCCCAGGAUUUCUGCCUUUCUCCCCACCCCAUGCAGCUCAGGCCGGGUGAUGGAGCAGCUGGGUCAGGGAGCACAGGGAUACUGCAGUGCAGCUCUCUCACAGCAGUUACUGAGGACAGCAUUUAGAAACAAAAGCAGAGGGAGGACUCUGCUGCAAAAUCACAACCCAGAUCCCCACCCAGCACACAAGAGGAGAGAUGCUGAAGUUAGACAUGGAGGCAGAAUACAAAGACAAGCCCUCACUGCGGAGCCAGCUGGCCCUGCAGGUCAGGCGUUGCCAGCCCUCCUCACAAAGCGAUUUUCUGCAGUGCGUUUGCGUGUGUGCCGUGCAGCAGCACCGUGCAGCGAUGCAGCGCGGAGCCGCGUGUGCUCCUGUCGCCCGGCUGCUUUGCUGCUCGGCUGCGUGCAUCGCAGCAGGGCUCAGCGGGAAGGGCUCCGGCAGGCUAUAUUUAGCAGCAACAACAAAACAGGCAGCCGGAUCAGCUGACUGGGCGCAGAGAGCACGGGUUAGUUGUAGGCAGCACGUAUCCUGCGCGGAAAGCAGGGCGAGAGAGAGGGAGAGAGAGCAGGGCACGGAGCUGGGAGGUACCCCAUCACCCGCAGGGGCUGCGGCUCAGUGGGGGUAGUCUGAGGGAAGGCCAGGCCAAAAAGAGUAGAGGACUGCUAUAUGCAUAAAAAGGACGUGAAGCAACAUCAGCUGUCAGCCAUGGCUCCCCGGAUAAGAUUGAGUGUUUCAAAGCCUCUCCCAACCAUCUGCGAAACCCACGAGGAAGCAAUGGAAGACCUAACCAGCAACCCAAAGCACACUGCAAACACUUCAACCAACCCAGACUUGUACUCUAGCGAUGACUACAUUCAAUCUAUCUGCCACCUUGCCAGGCCCACCUUCCCAGGCAUUCCGGAAAGCAGCCAUAGGGUUCGGAACAGAAGAAUCCUGCAGACCCUGGAAGCCAUGUCAUGGUCCCCAUCCCAGAAAGAAAUGUCAGCAUGUAAAUUGACCAAUUUCAUCUCAAAUGUGAUGCCACUGGGAAAAGCUACAUCUGCUCCUGAUGAUGCAGAAGCCGACUUCUGGUCUAGAGAGGACCCCCUGGCACAGAUCUACAGGCGCACAGGAAACCUCUGCUCCUCCAAGGGUUUGUGGAGCAAAAGCUCCAGCACUGACUCCUCACAGUGCAUCUCCUCCAGCCACCUGGACUCCCUUCAUCCCCCAGCCAUGAAAGAAGAAGCCCCAGGAAAACCACAUUUCCCACGGAUGUUCAGUUUUCCAAGGUUUCCCUCUCCAAGGCCAAUGCAGAAAGAAACGCUCUGCUCAGAGCUGAGGUGUCUCAGAAGGGAUGAGGGAGCGGUUGUAGGGAGCAAUCACAGUCAAAAGGAAGAUGCUCCCAGGUUUAUUAACACUGAAGAGCUAUUGCUGUGCUCAGGCAGAGGGAAGCUACUAGGAAAUCGGCUCUUGCGCUGCUCUGUAAGGAGGCAGAGUUUGUUUGAGGCAGUGGGUGCUGACGAAAAAGAAGGGAGAGAAACUUCUCACUGUGACAAAAACGCAGUGGGUGAUGUUCCCAGUAAACAGAGAUACUCUGAGUGCUUCCAGGCAGCUAAAAAAGCUGUGAUCCAUAAUUGGAUUUCAGAGCAUAGAUGCAUGUGGAAAGAAGCAAAGAUAAAGGCUUGUUUGCUCCCAGCCAUUGCUGAAGUGUGAAAAAGUAUCUGUUCCAAAUAAUGUUGUUUGCAAGAAAUAAACACCCUGUGCUCUAGAAGCUCUCCCUGGAGUCCUUAUGUGGAAAACAUGGCUUGAAUGUGCAUGCAAGUCAGAAAACCUUUUGUGAUCCAUCUUACCCCUCAUCAGUGGGCAAAUGGACAACUUGGAGUCCAGUCCUCUGAGAAAGCAGCAAUUAAUUCUCAUUUUGGAAAGACAACGGUUCAUAAAGCAUUGCCCCACACCUAUUGCCUUGAACUGCCCUGAGCAUGGAGGAAAUUGAAGAGCCAUCUGUCUUGAAGAAGUAAUCUGAAGGAAAAAGAAACAACAACCCACACACCUACUGCCAUUUCACAGCAGAUGCCAAGCAGCCAGAUGUUUCACACGCUUGGGUACAGUUAUUCUGAAAGGAACAUUCUGAAUGGUGCUUGGACAGUACUAAAUAUGCCCUCACUGACAUAUGCAUUCACUGAGACACACAGCAUAGAUCACUGCAUCAACACCAGAAUACCACUGGGUCAGUCAUCUGGUAGUGCUUUCAUGUAAAGGAAUACUUUUAAUAGCUGUAAGAAGCCUGUGAUGAGGAUGUGUUAGAGGACAACAUGAAAAAUACUGAAACUGCUCUGGGUGGGACUUUUCCCCUUCCUUAGCACUGCAAAAGUUUAUGACUUUCAUGUCACAAUCUAACCUUUUUGGGGAUGAGUGCCCUGGGUGAGCAUUGCUAACGCUGGUCUGGUGCUGCAAGAAAUCAGGGUCCCAUCGGUGUCUGCACUGCUGUCUGUGCUGGGUGGGAGCACAGCUGGGAGCUGAGAAAGCUCUGUGCACGUAUGGAUUGUGUCUGUGUUUCCCUUCAUCUGUGUGCUUCUCUAGUUUCCCCCACCUGGCCAUGCUAACCACACUGACUUUUCUAUGCCUGGUGCUGUGAGACCGAAACAUGAAGGAAAAAAAAACAUCACAAGAAGUCCCCAGGACAGCCCCUUUGCUGCUCAUGCUGUGUGGGAUGUCUGCAGGAGGAGCAGUGCUGCUGUGGGAUCCAGGUCAUCCCCUAACCGCCUCACUGAGACAACUUUGUCUCCUGAAGCCUUCACACACUGUCACAGUCCCACAGUCACAGCGCACAGCACUGCAAGAGGAGCGGGUGAGAGAACUGCUAAGUAAUGCCAGUGCAGUUAUUGCUGCCACUGCCACAAAUCAAUCCUUUGGCACGGAGCAGACAUGAGGACUGGGCUGUUUGCUCAACUGCAGCCAGGACGGGAAAUACCACCGCAAAGCUGCCAUUAUAGAAGUGCUCACAGGUGGCUUCUGAAACACCCCUGAGUAGAUUAAAUCAGACUGCAACUUCUGCCCGGUACCAACACAAGUGUAAAUAUACUCAAGGAUCAAAAGGUGAGAGAAUCUGAACUGCUCAUUCUCACAUCUCUUACCUCAAAUAUUUUUAUUCCUGUUGAAACUCAUUAAUGCUCCGGAGCCAAACUGCUUCUCAUCUCCAUUUUCAGACUAACCACACAGCAAGAACAAAGGCGAAGGCGGCUGCAGCUUUUUUAGGGUUUACAGAGAGCCUGAGCUGAACAAGGCCACACGGGCUCUGCCUCCCCCUCUUCUGCCCUUCCCUCUUGGGUUUGUAUAGGGAUGGAGGACAUGUUUGCCCUCAUUGCUAUGCGGACAUUUCGGUUUCUGUCCAUGUUUAAGACACUAAUGCCUAGCAAGUUUUGUGCCAACUGCAUGUAUCACCGUGUUUGACCAAGAAAGCAAAUAAAACCCUUACACCAAGCAGCAUUCUCUGUUCUUGCAGGCCCAUGAGUGAACCUCCAGGUGCAGGGCAGGCUGUGACCAAUGGCUCAGGGCUCACUACACAAACACCUGCUCAUUGCACAGCAGGCCCCAAGCACAGGAGCAAUGCCUUGUAACGCCAUUCUGCCUGCCCAGAUCCAGGCCCAGGCAUUAGGCCUGCAUCAAACUGGUGAUGCUGUGCAUUCUCAGACCCCCCCCCGACAAGGCUCCUGAUGAUAACAUCCACCCUCACAGCCAGACCAGUGCAUGGCACCAUGCAGCUGCUUCAGAGUGCCCCCAGCACUGAGAUUCCUCCUCGGCUGCCAUAUAUUCCUGUGAAUUCUCAAACUUUCCCAACUGAGCUCCCUAGAAACCUAAAACCCUUGGGGGGGGGAGGAAGCUUCGGAGUGCAGCAAAGAGAGGCACAGACAAGCUCAGGUGAUGUUGGCAUCCAAAUCCCACCAGUAGCUUUCAGUCUCAGCCUUCACAACCUGUUCACAGACGAUGUGUAGGCUAACAUACAACUUCAUUCAUGUGGUCAUGCAGACUUUUACUGCUGCAAGCAAUGAAUGCACUUGGACACAAAAAACCAUGACCAGAAAACCAAAGACAGGCAGAAACAAAGCUGUCCCCUUCUUUUCUCAUCAAUGCCACAACCAGCCCUAAGAGAAUUCAACAGAAUUAGCACAAAGAAGCGGCGGAAGAGGAAAAGGAGGGCUGUAAAGGACAACAGUUACCAUCAGCUCAGAGCAAGGAUGAGGAAGCAACAGCUCUGAGAGCCUGGCUAAUGGUAUCUGGGUAUCAGCACAGUGCAGAACAGCCACAGCACUCCAAGGAGCAAAUGCACUGCAGGUAGGGUCUCUCUGCAGAUAGAAAGACUGUAUUGGUCAGAAACUAAGGCAUGAACUGAUGUAAUGUGUUUAGAAACAGGAAAGGGUCAGGAAUGCGCUUGUCCUAAAGAGAGGACACAAAGGCAAGAUGGGAAAUGGAGAAGGUCUGUGCAGGAGGCCCUUGUGUGAAGUCAGCAAAGCCAGUUUCUGAAAAGUUUAAAUGAGAGUACUAGUGUAGUAGUAGUGUAGUACAGUAGUAGUGUAAAAGCAGCUUUUUUUUAAGAAAAAAAAACAAAUAAAAAUCUUAAAGCUUUGAUAGAAAAUACAGAGCCUAAUUUAGGGGAAACAGAUCCAAGCCUGAGGUGAGAUAUGGGGUCCCUCUACAGAGGUUAGCAGCUGUGUGGAUUGUGCAUCAAGUUUUCCCCUUGCCCUGGAAUGCCACAGUUGGGCCUAAUUACUCACUGAGAGUGUUUUUAGCUAACUUUGAGUCUCUACAAAUGGAGAGUAAUGAUAAAUGGUGUACAAUGAAGUUAAACUGCAUUUAGUGACUAAGAAGGAAUCUCUUAGCUUCAAAAAAAAAAAAAAAAAAAAAAAAAAAAAGCCUUGUAUGUCCCAUCAGCAAUGUGAUUAAUGGCCAAGAGUUUUGCAUCUGCAGCAAUAAACACAGGCAUAAAAGAGAUCCAAAACAACAGCCAAAUGCAUUCACAGAUGAAAGGAGCAGGGAAGCCUCUCUGUCCUGGUGGCAGUGGGAGGCAGUGCUACAUCUGUUGCUGCACAGGGAGCUGCACUGUCAGUGACACAUCCUGCAGUACCCAGGCAGAGGCCUCCUGCUCCCAUCUCAGAUGUACGAGCUCAAAAAGCACAAGCUUGCAGUCUUGUGUUUGACCAUCCUUCCGGCUCAGCUGUUUGCCUUGCUCACCACAGCCCCCAUUUAUUUUUUGUGGCUGGCAUCGAAAUCACAGCGGAUAGCAACAAUGAACCCUGUAACACCACAUCUUGGUCUCAUGGCCUUUCCCCAUGCUUUGGGCUUCUCAAGAGUAACUGAAUUUGCCUGACACAAGAUAGAGCUGAUGCAAAAUACACAUUGUGUAAAUUCCCAUCCAAUGUCCCUGGCAAUCACAGCUUUCCUGGAAAUAAAGCUCCUGGAGGCAGCACUUCCAGGGACUGUUGCAAAGAGCUGCAGAAAACCCAGGCAUUUUUGGAAUAUCAUCU
rnacentral:lncRNA from 1 species